rnacentral:rRNA from 1 species
AUUGAACGCUGGCGGCAGGCUUAACACAUGUAAGUCGAGCGGGGAAAGGUAGCUUGCUACUUGACCUAGCGGCGGACGGGUGAGUAAUGCUUAGGAAUCUGCCUAUUAGUGGGGGACAACAUCUCGAAAGGGAUGCUAAUACCGCAUACGUCCUACGGGAGAAAGCAGGGGACCUUCGGGCCUUGCGCUAAUAGAUGAGCCUAAGUCGGAUUAGCUAGUUGGUGGGGUAAAGGCCUACCAAGGCGACGAUCUGUAGCGGGUCGGAGAGGAUGAUCCGCCACACUGGGACUGGGACACGGCCCAGACGCCUACGGGAGGUAGCAGUGGGGAAUAUUGGACAAUGGGGGGAACCCUGAUCCAGCCAUGCCGCGUGUGUGAAGAAGGCCUUUUGGUUGUAAAGCACUUUAAGCGAGGAGGAGGCUACCGAGAUUAAUACUCUUGGAUAGUGGACGUUACUCGCAGAAUAAGCACCGGCUAACUCUGUGCCAGCCGCCGCCGUAACAC